GCGGGCUGCUGCUCGGGAGUGAAAACUGUUUGACAGGAAGGUGAGGCGAGCGAGCAGCAGCGGUAUACAACCGGAGACCCAGCAGCAGAGGAGAGAAGUUACUUCCAACCGUGUCGGCGGGCAGUUGUAUGAAUCGAGGCAGCCUCGAGAGCGACAAAUGACCCGCAGGCGUCAAAGCAACAGGGCGCAGAGCGAGAUGUCCGGGACCGUGCCAGCCUCGAGCAGCAGAAAGCGAGACUAGCACACCGCAGCGACGCGGAAAAUAUUCAGCGGGGAGAGAAUGCGAAUGGUGCGAGGAGGAGGAUACCGAAACCAAACAAAAUGGAAACGAUGUAGCGCCGCUGCGGCAUUUCACGUAGCUAGAAGUCACGUUAGAGUAGAGAGUAGAUAGCUGAGGAGCUAGUGCCCACUCACAUACAUGCAAAGUUAUUCCCCGGAGAGCCAGCAGCGGAGCCGGGGGGCGCCGGAGGAAUCCCGAGAGUUCAUCUGCACAGCGGAAAUCAAAGAUCAAUAAAGAAGAUGCUACGGAGGGGACUCAACCGUUUGCUUGGUGGUGAUGAGAGAAGAGUACACAGUAGGACGAUUUACAUUGGUCAUCGGUCCUGUGCUGCUGAUGAGGCUUUCAUCCCACCCAAGUUCUGUGACAACAGAAUUGUUUCCUCCAAGUACACAGUCUGGAACUUUCUACCAAAGAACCUGUUUGAGCAGUUUAGGAGAAUUGCCAAUUUCUAUUUCCUCAUCAUCUUCCUGGUGCAGGUGAUAGUGGACACCCCCACCAGCCCAGUCACUAGUGGCCUACCUUUAUUUUUUGUGAUUACAGUGACUGCUAUCAAGCAGGGAUAUGAAGACUGGCUACGACACAAGGCUGACAAUGAGGUGAAUAAGUACCCAGUGAAAGUGCUAGAGGACGGCCGGAGGAUACGAAAGGAGAGUGAGAAGAUCAAGGUGGGAGAUGUUGUGGAAGUGGUGGAAGACGAGACGUUUCCCUGUGAUUUAAUACUGCUACAGUCUAGUCGAGAUGACGGCACAUGUUUCGUUACCACAGCAAGUUUGGACGGAGAAUCCAACCAUAAAACACACUACACAGUGCCAGACACGGAGAGGGAUCUGGAAUCUCUCAAUGCCACCAUUGAGUGUGAACAGCCACAGCCUGACCUUUACAAGUUCGUCGGCCGCGUGCACAUCUACAAAAACAGUCAUGAGCCUUCAGUGAGGUCUUUGGGCCCAGAAAAUCUGCUGCUGAAAGGGGCAACUUUGAAGAAUACCCAGAGGAUAUGUGGUGUUGCAGUCUAUACUGGUAUGGAGACAAAGAUGGCACUCAACUAUCAGGGCAAAUCUCAGAAACGGUCUGUUGUGGAAAAGUCUAUCAAUGCCUUCCUUCUGGUUUACCUUUUCAUAUUGGUGAGCAAGGCCUUUGUGUGCACUACACUCAAGUAUGUGUGGCAGAACAAGCCUGGGCAGGAUGAGCCGUGGUACAAUGAGAAAACCCAGAGAGAGAAGGACACCAAUUUGUACCUAAAGAUGUUCACCGACUUCCUGUCCUUCAUGGUGCUCUUCAACUUCAUCAUUCCAGUGUCCAUGUAUGUUACGGUUGAGAUGCAAAAGUUUUUGGGAUCCUUUUUCAUCACGUGGGACAAAGAUUUCUUUGACCCUGAAAUCCAGGAGGGGGCACUGGUCAACACGUCAGACCUCAAUGAGGAGCUUGGACAGGUGGAUUACGUGUUCACAGACAAGACAGGCACACUCACUCAGAAUAACAUGGAGUUCAUAGAGUGCUGCAUCGAUGGUUUCCAGUACAAGUACAGGGAUGCGAGCAGCGAGUUGGAUGGGUUUUGUGUCACAGAUGGACCUGUGAACAAACUACAACAGAAAGCUGGCAGGGACAAGGAAGAGCUGUUUCUGCGUGCCCUCUGUCUUUGUCACACAGUCCAAGUGAAGGAGUCUACAGAGCAGGAUCAGGUCCAGCGGGACGGAACACCAGACCAAGUGGACGGUUCAGGGGAUGGAGAGGUCUUCCAUAUCCCUCAGGUGGAGAAGGGAUUCAUCGCUUCCUCACCUGAUGAGAUUGCUUUGGUGAAGGGUGCCAUGAGGUAUGGCUUCACAUUUCUGGGUCUUGAAAGUAAAACUAUGAAAAUUCUUAACAGGAACAAAGAUGUUGAAAUGUAUGAACUGCUGCAUGUGUUGAACUUUGACCCAGUGAGAAGGCGUAUGAGUGUGAUAGUCAGAUCCAGAUCAGGUGAUACACUGCUUUUCUGUAAGGGAGCAGACUCUUCCAUCUUCCCUCGAGUUAGACAAGACGAGGUUGAAAGGAUACGCAUGCAUGUGGAGCGUAGUGCGACGGAGGGUUAUCGCACACUGUGUGUGGCCUACAAGCACCUCAGCCCAGAAGAGUUCGCCCAUGUUGAUGCAGGAUUGAAGGAAGCCAGAUUGGCUCUUCAGGACAGAGAGGAGAAGCUUAUAGGCGUUUACAACCAAGUGGAGACUGGGAUGAAUCUAAUAGGAGCGACUGCUGUGGAAGAUCGGCUUCAGGAGGAGGCAGCAGAGACUAUGGAAGCUCUGCAGGGAGCCGGUAUGAAGGUUUGGGUCCUAACAGGGGACAAGAUGGAGACCGCAAAGUCCACCUGCUACGCUUGUAGAUUGUUUCAGAGAAACACAGAGCUAUUGGAGCUAACUUUGCGUACUUUGGAGGAUGGAGUGAGGACGCGCGAGGAACGUCUGCAUGAGCUUCUGCUUGAGUAUCAUAAGAAAGCUGUACAGGAUGCACCAGCAGUAAAGGCAGGCGUCACCAGAAGUUGGUCCGCGGCCAAUCAUGAUUAUGGUUUUAUCAUAGAUGGCGCCUCCUUAUCAAUGGUGCUCAACUCAUCCUCCGAAUCUAACUCAAAUCGCUAUGAGAGCCUGUUCCUGCAGAUCUGUCAAAACUGUACAGCUGUGCUCUGCUGCCGCAUGGCCCCUCUGCAGAAGGCACAGAUAGUUAAAAUGGUAAAGAACUCUAAAGGCAGCCCAAUCACCCUUUCCAUUGGAGAUGGAGCCAAUGAUGUCAGCAUGAUUUUGGAAGCUCAUGUUGGGAUUGGAAUUAAAGGCAAAGAGGGUCGGCAAGCUGUGAGGAACAGUGAUUAUGCCAUCCCCAAACUCAAGCAUCUCAAGAAACUUUUGUUGGCGCACGGGCAUCUUUACUAUGUUCGGAUUGCACACCUGGUGCAGUAUUUCUUUUACAAGAAUCUUUGCUUCAUCUUACCGCAGUUUUUGUACCAGUUCUUCUGCGGCUAUUCCCAACAACCCCUGUAUGAUGCGGCCUAUCUGACGAUGUACAACAUCUGCUUCACCUCUAUGCCCAUCCUGGCUUACAGCCUUUUCGAGCAGCACAUUUGCAUUGAGUUUCUCAUGGACAACGCUACCCUCUACAGAGAGAUUGCAAAGAAUGCCAUGUUACGAUGGGGACCUUUCCUCUACUGGACCUUACUCGGAGUCUUCCAUGGCCUGCUUUUCUUCUUUGGAGUUCGAUGUUUGUUCAGUAACCCAGCCCUGCAGGAUAAUGGCCAGGUUUUUGGAAAUUGGUCGUACGGAACGAUUGUAUUCACUGUCCUUGUCUUCACUGUGACACUAAAGCUGGCUCUGGACACACGGCACUGGACAUGGAUCAACCACUUUGUAAUAUGGGGCUCUCUGGCCUUCUAUGUAUUUUUCAGCUUCUUCUGGGGAGGAAUAAUAUGGCCUUUCCUAAGACAGCAGCGUUUGUACUUUGUGUUUGCCAACAUGCUGAGCUCGGUGUCCGCCUGGCUGGUCAUCAUCCUGCUCAUCCUCGUCAGCCUACUGCCAGAGAUCCUGCUUGGGGUUCUCCGCAAGCCCCGUGGGCCUCACGCUCGACAGAUGAAACAUCGCCUUCCUUCCUCGGGGACUUCUACUAUCUUCAUGUUGUCACAGACCGCUAGCACUCACAGCUUCUCAUGGAGUGACUGAGAAGAAGCGGGUUCAGUCGAGCGCUGGGGGCCUCCAGUCUCCCAGGUCUUCAGCCAGGCCCCUGCUCAUGAGAACCUUUUCUGAUGAGUCCAAUACUGUCAUUUAAACAGGUACCAGCGUACUUUCAGGCUAUUCAAGACAAUCAAUGACUUCCCCCAGUCAACGUCCAGCAGUUCUUUUCUCUAACUCUGAGUCUUAACAAGGAAAUCAAAGACAUGAUGGCGUACAGGCCUUAUUCAACUAGUGUGCUCUGAUGUUUUGUGUAGGCUGAUAUAGGCUGGCUGAAGAGAUGCACUUUUCCUGUCACACCUUUUGUUAAAAUAAUCAUUCGGUGCAUUCAUUUAACGGGAAUGCAUCCCAAGGCACAGUUUUUGUACGGACACAUGCUCCUUUCAGCCUCCCUUUUGAUGCCCGGCUAUAUUUCCUUCUGCAUGUGCUUCAUGAAACCCACUUUUAAGUUGUUUUUCUUUUCCUUUUCUUUAUUCAUGCCAUUUUUCUAAGGUGUGUCAGUAUUUGUCUUAUCUGGCAGUGUGAAAAAAAAACAGAGAUGGUCUGUUGUCACUUCCUAAUUUGUGAUUUCCCUGUAUUAUUUGUGGUGCUGUGGUUUAGUAGUGGUUUUUUCUCUCUCGUAUGCACAUCCAAACUUGUGUUGGUAGCUGUUUGCUUACUUUUACGGCCAAUAUUGGAGGCACUUGUGUUGCGCUUGAGCUCAGUGCAUGGUGUAAUGUUUGUGUAACCUCAACCCAAUUGCUGCUGUAUUACCGGGGGUGGACAACAAAAUGAAUACGGCAUAAACACAACAAUUAAAUCGUAUUUACGACAUUUUUUGAUUGAAAUGAAUUACAAAGUAUUGGUAAAAACUGCAUAGUUUCCAACAAAACACUUAUUGUGCACCUCGUUGUGCACCUGUAUUUUGUUAAAUGCUUCCAAACUGUUAGUUUUUUUUUUUUGUCUUCCCCCUGGAUAAUACGCUAUGGAGAAUGGACGCACUAUUCACUGGGGUCACUGGGGUCACUGACUGCCUCACAGCAGCACCGGGCUGUUUGAACCAGCUGUCACUGUUUAAUCUGGAUUUCUAUUCUCCCUAUAGCUGUCAGAUGGUGACCUCCCACAAACGUCCAGACUGCUGCCGUCACACCACUGUCCUACAAGCACCUGAAGGAGCACGAGUAAAAGGCAGCGGGGGACACGGCAGCGGCAUCAGUUUCACGGCCAUUUCCACUCUGGUUAGAAGAAUCUGAAAGGAUGUGAAGAAGUGGAGGAGGAAGAUGAGGGGAAAAAAAGAUGUGGUUAAGAAGUCUCUUUGACUUGUGUAGUUGUGAUCCAUUCUCUGGCCAGUCCCCAACCACAUGCAUGGCUGUGCAGCAGAGCCCUGCAUUAUUUUAUAGAAUAUCUACCUAAACGACAGGCAUGAGCUCUUUCUUUCACUUUUUUAAAAAUAUUUUUUUUUUAAACUGGCUUCCAAAUGAAUGCAUACAUGGCUGUUUUUGUUUCUACAAGCGGUUGUAACGGCCCCUCCCAAGAAAGGUACAUUUGCAUGAAAGAAGGCUCAAAAGAACAAUGAAUUAGUCACUAUAUUCUACAAACCUUCUUUUAUUUUGUUGUUAAUAGCUGUACUUUAUACUUUGAUUUUUACAUUUCUCAACUUUUUUUUUUAAAUGGCCUCACACAUUUUUAGAAAAUACGCUCAUCUACAGACCUGAAUCAGCUGAGGUGCAAAGUUACGAAAUGUGAUGUUGAGUGCAGCUCAAAGUAGCACGCAGACUGUUUAAACAGUUUUUGAUUUAUAGAUAGUUACGUUAUUCUUUAAUUCCAUUGAUAAAUCUACAAUCUAUAUAUUAAAAACCAAGGCAUAAGAGAGAUUAUUGGAUGCCAUAAUACCACUCGCUCCAAAAAGUGUGUAUGUUUGUGUGUGUUUGUCAGAUCGAGUGAUAGAUUAGAGACUUUAAGAACUUUAUUCCGGCAAUUAAAAAUUGCUUGGAGAAUUACCUAAAUCUUCCAGCCUCUGAGAUAAUUUAGACCAAUGUGAAAGAAAUCUAAUAUAUGUGCUGUACUGUAUAUAGUAAGAGACGUAUAUUAGCACAUGCUCAAAGCCAAAAAGAUGAAUGCAGUGCGAUCAGAUUGCGUCCACACAAGUGUGACCUGGAAGUUACAGAUCUGUGUGUUAGAUGAACAUGCAUAAACGUGCUGGAUGAGAAUAGCCACAAAUGCCUGUGUGUAAUGAAGACCAGAAUUACUUGAACCUAGAGGAUAUAGAUCGGUUAUACAUUUUCUGCACUAUUUAAAAACAAAAAACAAAAAAAAAAUGGUUUCUUUAUUAUGACUUUGAUCACUAAGUCACAUUAAUAUAUGCCUGCACACAUACGCACAUGUUUGAUGACAAGAGAUAACCAACACAUACUGUACGCGUAUGUACACAUGCACUAAAGCCAUUGGGUAUUUAUAUUCAUUAUCUUGUGUCCAUAUUUUUCGUCUCUUAAGCUGAAGUUGGAAUUUAACAUGACCCAACUCCAGAAACGUGAUGGCUCAAGUCACUGUGAGACCCUACUUUGUUUCUGGUCACGUCUACUGACCUACAGGUUGAUGUUUUGGACUUUCUGGCCCUUCGUUCCUUCUUUAAAUUCUUUGGUAUAUCGCUUCAUACAUUCCAUUAAGACAUAACAUGAUUUCAGACACUUUUAGAUACUCUUUUGGAAUAUCUUUUUGUCUUUUCCCCCCCAUGAGCCUAUAUUAUCUACUUACCAUAUUUAUUGUUAAGUGUAAUUUUACUCACAAAUGUUAUAUUUUUCUUACAUAAAUCUUUUUUAUUGUGGAGAAUGUUCAGCUUUGUGCCGUCUGAUUUAGCCGGUUGCGCUCCUCCCCUGAUGUUACCCAAACCCGUUUUCAUGGCUACAAAGGCGGGCAGCCCCUUCACCACAUACACACAACUUCCCAAGAUUGACUUCAGAACAAAUUUGACCUCUUUUGGCAGAUGAACUCCUGCUAAAUACUUGCUACUAAUUGCCGGUUAAAACAGGUUUUGAUUUUGGAAAGGAAAGGGUCAGUGAGAGGGGGCUGCCUCCUUUUGUUAACUCGUCAAAAUCCUUUAAGUGAUAUCAGAAAUGCUAUUUUCAGAGCUUAAAAUAUGUUUGAAUCUAAUGUUUUGCUUGUUUAAAUGAAACAUUAAAUGAAUGGAUUGUAUUUUUAAUGCAACUUUUUUCCUGCCACUUUUGUAAGAAAAAAAAAAGAAUAAAAAUCCAACGAGA